rnacentral:rRNA from 1 species
UACGUAGGGUGCGAGCGUUAAUCGGAAUUACUGGGCGUAAAGGGUGCGUAGGCGGCACUAUAAGUUAGAUGUGAAAUACCCGAGCUUAACUUGGGAAUGGCAUUUAAUACUGUAGAGCUAGAGUUAGUCAGAGGGGGGUAGAAUUCCAAGUGUAGCAGUGAAAUGCGUAGAGAUUUGGAGGAAUACCGAUGGCGAAGGCAGCCCCCUGGGAUGAGACUGACGCUGAGGCACGAAAGCGUGGGUAGCAAACAGGAUUAGAUACCCUGGUAGUCCACGCCCUAAACGAUGUCUACUUGCUGUUGGGGGUAAAACCUUAGUAGCGCAGCAAACGCGAGAAGUAGACCGCCUGGGGAGUACGGUCGCAAGAUUAAAACUCAAAGGAAUUGACGGGGACCCGCACAAGCGGUGGAUGAUGUGGAUUAAUUCGAUGCAACGCGAAGAACCUUACCUGCUCUUGACAUGCCAGAAAGGCUCCAGAGAUGGAGCUGUGCCUUCGGGAAUCUGGGCACAGGUGCUGCAUGGCUGUCGUCAGCUCGUGUCGUGAGAUGUUGUCUUAAGUGACGCAACGAGCGCAACCCUUACAACUAGUUGCCAAUAUUAAGUUAGGAACUCUAGUUGGACUGCCGGUGUUAAGCCGGAGGAAGGUGGGGAUGACGUCAAGUCCUCAUGGCCCUUAUGAGCAGGGCUUCACACGUCAUACAAUGGUAGGUACAGACGGAAGCAAAGCCGCGAGGUGGAGCAAACCUGAGAAAGCCUAUCGUAGUCCGGAUUGCACUCUGCAACUCGAGUGCAUGAAGUCGGAAUCGCUAGUAAUCGCAGAUCAGCAUGCUGCGGUGAAUACGUUCCCGGGUCU